ACUCCUACGGGAGGCAGCAGUGGGGAAUAUUGCACAAUGGGCGCAAGCCUGAUGCAGCCAUGCCGCGUGUGUGAAGAAGGCCUUCGGGUUGUAAAGCACUUUCAGUUGUGAGGAAAGGUUAGUCGCUAAUAUCGGCUAGCUGUGACGUUAGCAACAGAAGAAGCACCGGCUAACUCCGUGCCAGCAGCCGCGGUAAUACGGAGGGUGCGAGCGUUGUCCGGAUUUAUUGGGUUUAAAGGGUGCGUAGGCGGCCUGUUAAGUCAGUGGUGAAAGGUAUCAGCUCAACUGAUGACGUGCCAUUGAAACUGGCGGGCUUGAGUACAGACGAGGUAGGCGGAAUUUAUGGUGUAGCGGUGAAAUGCAUAGAUACCAUAAAGAACACCGAUAGCGAAGGCAGCUUACUAGGCUGAGACUGACGCUGAGGCACGAAAGCGUGGGGAGCGAACAGGAUUAGAGUACCCUGGUAGGCUCUG
rnacentral:rRNA from 1 species